AGCGAACGCUGGCGGCAGGCUUAACACAUGCAAGUCGAGCGGGCCCUUCGGGGUCAGCGGCGGACGGGUGAGUAACGCGUGGGAACGUGCCCUCUGGUCUGGAAUAACCCUGGGAAACUGGGGCUAAUACCGGAUACGCCCUUUUGGGGAAGGGCUUGCUGCCGGAGGAUCGGCCCGCGUCUGAUUAGCUAGUUGGUGGGGUAACGGCCUACCAAGGCGACGAUCAGUAGCUGGUCUGAGAGGAUGAUCAGCCACACUGGGACUGAGACACGGCCCAGACUCCUACGGGAGGCAGCAGUGGGGAAUAUUGGACAAUGGGCGCAAGCCUGAUCCAGCCAUGCCGCGUGAGUGAUGAAGGCCUUAGGGUUGUAAAGCUCUUUUAUCCGGGGCGAUAAUGACGGUACCGGAGGAAUAAGCCCCGGCUAACUUCGUGCCAGCCGCCGCCGUAA
rnacentral:rRNA from 1 species